UCCCUCCUGCGGUGUUCGACAGCGGCUUGAUUGGUCUCUCGACCCUUAAUCGUGCUUUCGGAAUCGCAGGCUGUCGGUAGUCUGUGCAUGACCGCCUCGUGCGGGAAGCCUUCUCUGCCGCGUUUGAUUCCACCUGAUGCUCCCGGUCGGUGAGCAGCAGGCCGCACCGGCACAGGCGGGAGGGGC
rnacentral:other from 2 species